UCGGGGAAUCAGGGUUCGAUUCCGGAGAGGGAGCCUGAGAAAUGGCUACCACAUCCAAGGAUGGCAGCAGGCGCGCAAAUUACCCACUCCCAGCUUGGGGAGGUAGUGACGAAAAAUAACAAUGCGGGACUCUAAGAGGCCCCGUAAUUGGAAUGAGUACACCUUAAAUCGUUUAACGAGUAUCAAUUGGAGGGCAAGUCUGGUGCCAGCAGCCGCGGUAAUUCCAGCUCCAAUAGCGUAUAUUAAAGUUGCUGCAGUUAAAAAGCUCGUAGUUGGAUCUGGGGCUUGAGGUCGCUGUCUAUCGUUUCGGCGAUGACGGUGAUGCUCAGCUCUGCUUGCCGGUGACUGUUGCGGUGUUCUUCACUGAGCGCUGUAGCAGCACGGCACGUUUACUUUGAAAAAAUUAGAGUGCUCAAAGCGUGCUUGUCGCUUGAAUAAUGUUGCAUGGAAUAAUGGAAUAGGACCUCGGUUCUAUUUUGUUGGUUUUCGGAGCUUGAGGUAAUGAUUAAGAGGGACGAACGGGGGCAUUCGUAUUGCGGUGUUAGAGGUGAAAUUCUUGGAUCGCCGCAAGACGGACUACUGCGAAAGCAUUUGCCAAGAACGCUUUCAUUAAUUAAGAACGAAAGUCAGAGGUUCGAAGACGAUCAGACACCGUCCUAGUUCUGACCAUAAACGAUGCCGACCAGCGAUCCGUAGUGGUUGCUUUAUGGACCCUACGGGCAGCCUCCGGGAAACCAAAGUAUUUGGGUUCCGGGGGAAGUAUGGUUGCAAAGCUGAAACUUAAAGGAAUUGACGGAAGGGCACACCAGGAGUGGAGCCUGCGGCUUAAUUUGACACAACACGGGAAAACUCACCCGGUCCGGACACCGUAAGGAUUGACAGACUGAUAGCUCUUUCUUGAUUCGGUGGAUGGUGGUGCAUGGCCGUUCUUAGUUGGUGGAGUGAUUUGUCUGGUUAAUUCCGAUAACGAACGAGACUCUAGCCUGCUAAGUAGUGUUGCUAUUGUUAUAUGGUUGACACUUCUUAGAGGGACAAGUGGCAUUUAGCCACGCGAAAUUGAGCAAUAACAGGUCUGUGAUGCCCUUAGAUGUCCGGGGCCGCACGCGCGCUACACUGGAGAAGUCAGCGUGUGUUAUCCAAGUCCGAAAGGACUGGGUAAUCCGUUGAACCUUCUUCGUGCUUGGGACUGUGGCUUGGAACUAUUCCACAUGAACGAGGAAUUCCUAGUAAUUGCAAGUCAUAAGCUUGCGUUGAUUACGUCCCUGCCCUUUGUACACACCGCCCGUCGCUACUACCGAUUGAAUGGUUUAGCAAGGUCCUCGGAUCGUGGCCGUAGGGGCACGCAAGUGUUUCUGCGGUUUGCGAGAAGACGACCAAACUUGAUCAUUUAGAGGAAGUAAAAGUCGUAACAAGGUU
rnacentral:rRNA from 1 species